AUUGAACGCUGGCGGCAUGCCUUACACAUGCAAGUCGAACGGCAGCACGGGGGCAACCCUGGUGGCGAGUGGCGAACGGGUGAGUAAUAUAUCGGAACGUGCCCUAGAGUGGGGGAGUAACGUAGCGAAAGUUACGCUAAUACCGCAUACGAUCUAAGGAUGAAAGCGGGGGAUCGCAAGACCUCGCGCUCGUGGAGCGGCCGAUAUCUGAUUAGCUAGUUGGAGGGUAAAAGACCUACCAAGGCGACGAUCAGUAGCUGGUCUGAGAGGACGGACCAGCCACACUGGGACUGAGACACGGCCCAGACUCCUACGGGAGGCAGCAGU
rnacentral:rRNA from 1 species